rnacentral:rRNA from 1 species
GGAGGUAGUGACAAUAAAUCUCAAUACGAAGCCUUUGGUUUUGUAAUUGAAUUGAGAACAAUGUACAAUCGUUAUCGAUAAACAAUUGGAGGGCAAGUCUGGUGCCAGCAGCCGCGGUAAUUCCAGCUCCAAUAGCGUAUAUUAACGUUGUUGCAGUUAAAAAGCUCGUAGUUGAAGUUUAGAUGGUUUGAAGGGGGUGUUAGUAUUCGUACUAUCUGCUCUCUUUGGAUUAUCGACUUCCAGGUAAGCUCAAUAAUCCCUCCGGGGACUAUCGAGCCAGACUGGUCUUUUACUGUGAGAAAAUUAGAGUGUUUAAAGCAGACUUUUAUUUAGUUUGAAUAGAUUAGCAUGGAAUAAUAAGAUUGGCUUUCAUAGUCGAUUUUUUGGUUUGUUUAUGAAAGCAAGAUUAAUAGGGACAGUUGGGGGUAUUCAUAUUCAAUAGCUAGAGGUGAAAUUCUAUGAUUUAUGGAAGAUGAACAAGUGCGAAAGCA